rnacentral:lncRNA from 1 species
CGAUGGAGAGACAGUGUUCAUUGCCAGAUGUAGAAACCAAGGCUCAGAUGGGAUAACCGACUUUUCCAAGUCCAACAGACAGUAAGGAAAGGAAUGGCGAGAUCAACUCAGAUCUUCUCUUAGCCAUGCUGAGGGUAAUCGCCUUGCAAUUACCUCUUCAAUGGAUAUUCCUUGCAAGAAUUAAAACUCUAUUAGGCUUUUUCCAAGAUAGCUCCUUCCAGAACUCAGUUCAUCCAGGUCAAAAAAGCACUGGAAGGUAAAUUGGCAACCACUCAUCAUAUCACAUGAUGUUUUCCAAAAUGUAAGACUGUCCCAAUCAAAGGAGCUGGUAGCAAACAUAAUGAACGUCAGCUGAGACUCUAUAAACCAAAAAAGCCCUGGGUUGACUGUGUUCAUGUGACUUCAAAAGAGGGUAAUCUGCAGGGGGUGUUCCUGCAGGGCCUACUUUGCACCCUUUGCUACCCUUUAGAUACCAUUUGACCUCAUUUUCCUCUCUGUGUGAUGGCCAAACCACAGGCUCCCUCUUCUAUCUGGCCCCAUGAGCAUUAAUCAACUUCAACCUUCCCCAAGACCUGGCAGGAGAGAUGCAGUACCUACUUCUUAAUAAACUCAAACUGUCAUUGAAGAUGAAAGAUGAGACUGCAAAACUUCGAGCAUCCCAACUCCCCAGCUUGCCAAGUGCUGGGAAUCCGGAGGGGAGUGCCCUCGAGGACAGGUCUCUGUGGAUGGUGCAGAAAAGUCAGCUAGCUGCCUUCUCUUUUUUCCCUUCUCUUUCUUCCCCUAAAUGCUCCCUCAGUGAUACCACUGUGUCUGCAGUAAAGAGAGACUGUCUAGCUGUUUCUUUUUCAGCAAGACAAUUUGGUGUGUGGUCUGUGGUGCCCACACAUUCUUCUUUGCAAUGAGUGGUGGGUGAACAGUGUUUUCCAAGUUGGAUGUUACAGUACCAUAAGUAGAAACAGAUCUCCCGGAGCUCCGAACACUUUUUCUGCCUGAGUUGGGAGGAUCAGCAGGCUCCUGUGUAGAUGGCCCAGCAGAUUCCUUGGGAGCAGCUUUGCAGCAUUUCCCCACUCACUGGCCCUCACCAAUCAUAAUGAAAGCUCAAUUAGGUGGUGGACUUCCACUUUUGUAACUGCCAGCUCUGGGAAGGACCCCUUACUCCGUAUCUGCUUUUCCAGAAAGCCUGAAGUUUCUCUAACAGAAUAUGAAUCCUGACG